CCUACGGGGGGCAGCAGUGGGGAAUAUUGGACAAUGGGCGAAAGCCUGAUCCAGCAAUGCCGCGUGAGUGAUGAAGGCCUUCGGGUCGUAAAGCUCUUUUACCAGGGAUGAUAAUGACAGUACCUGGAGAAUAAGCUCCGGCUAACUCCGUGCCAGCAGCCGCGGUAAUACGGAGGGAGCUAGCGUUGUUCGGAAUUACUGGGCGUAAAGAGUACGUAGGCGGUUAUUCAAGUCAGAGGUGAAAGCCCGGGGCUCAACCCCGGAACUGCCUUUGAAACUAGAUAACUAGAGUCUUGGAGAGGUUAGUGGAAUUCCGAGUGUAGAGGUGAAAUUCGUAGAUAUUCGGAAGAACACCAGUGGCGAAGGCGACUAACUGGACAAGUACUGACGCUGAGGUACGAAAGCGUGGGGAGCAAACAGGAUUAGAUACCCUGGUAGUCCACGCCGUAAACGAUGAUAACUAGUUGUUCGGUCACUUGGUGACUGAGUGACGCAGCUAACGCAUUAAGUUAUCCGCCUGGGGAGUACGGUCGCAAGNUUAAAACUCAAAGGAAUUGACGG
rnacentral:rRNA from 1 species